UCGUAAUCUUGUAUAAUUGAGUUGCUGCAUCUCUCUAAACUUGACUUCGUGUAUGUGUCAUCACCAUUCAAUCAACUCAUACAUAUGCAUUUUCAUGUAGAUAACCCGCUAGUCGACGGUCUAUAUGAAUUGAUCGCCGUGCCUGAGAGUGAGCAACGUGAAGCCUCUCCUAUUGAAACAUCUCAAGACCUGAACCAAAGUUCAGAAAAGCCCAAGGCUAAUUGGGAAGGCAAGCCUUGGAGCAUAACUCCUAAUUUCAAAACUAUGUAUUAGUGAAGAAAUGAUAGAGUUGGUGGCCGGUCAACCUUGGGAUGGCCAUCCUUUACCUGAAGGGUGGUCGGUUGAGUGGUCUCCGGCCUCACUUUGAGGUGGUCUCGUGUUGGAUGACAUGUGGCGACCUACUCAUGUCGUCACGUAUCUUUAUUCACGCUUUAUCAUUUAGACUUUCAUUGUAUUUUAUUUAAAGAACUCUGGCUUGUAAUCUUUAUGAAUUUUGAACUCGGUUUAUAAAUUAAUUAUGAACUAUAUGUUUGUAAACUGGAAUGCUAUGUUGUAUCAUCUGCGUUCACCUUCGUGUGAGACUUGUUGCAUGUUGUUUUGAUCAA